AAGUGAGAGAUUUGGAUGUUCUCAACAUCAAGCUUCUUAAAAUUACUACGCUUUCUUGUGACCAAAAAUUUCCCCAAAUUAUAAGGCCUAUAUUUAGCAGGGUUUUGCUCAUUUGCUAUUUCCUCCAAAGGCUUCACCCAGGUGUAGUGUGCUGGGUUCAAGAAGUAUGGAACAGAAAAUCUUUCCUUCUCAGGAUUCACCUUCACUCUAUGCUCUACACUCUCGUAUGCAUCAUUGCUCCAUACCUGAAUGAUGUCACCAACAUUAAUAAUGUAAGAAUUUGGGGUUGGGGUGACCCAAGUCCACUCUCCAUCAGAUUUGCUUUUCACUUCUAGUCCACCCACAUCAUCUUGGGCAAGUAUGGUCAAGGCAACAGCACGACCAACGCCAAGAGCUAGGUCAGGAACAGGGCAUGGUGGAUAGUGGUUGAGUCUAAUGAAGGUGGUUUGGUCUUCAAAGAAUCCAUGGAACCUAUCUGCCUUCAGGCC
rnacentral:misc_RNA from 1 species